rnacentral:rRNA from 1 species
CUUAACACAUGCAAGUGGUGCGACGAACCAGGGCUUGCCCUGGGGCAAAGCCGCGAACGGGUGAGUAACACGUGAGUAACCUGCCCCGAUGACCGGGACAACCCGAGGAAACUCGGGCUAAUACCGGAUGUGGCGCACAGGCGUAAGCCUGUUCGCUAAAGGAAGCUUCGGCCUCCGCAUUGGGAGGGGCUCGCGGCCCAUUAGCUUGUUGGUGGGGUAACGGCCUACCAAGGCAACGAUGGGUAGCUGGUCUGAGAGGACGAUCAGCCACACUGGGACUGAGACACGGCCCAGACUCCUACGGGAGGCAGCAGUGGGGAAUCUUGCGCAAUGCGCGAAAGCGUGACGCAGCAACGCCGCGUGGGGGAAGAAGGCCUUCGGGUUGUAAACCCCUUUCAGGAGGGACGAAGGUUCGCCGGUGAAUAGCCGUGCGGAUUGACGGUACCUCCACAAGAAGCUCCGGCUAACUACGUGCCAGCAGCCGCGGUAAUACGUAGGGAGCAAGCGUUGUCCGGAAUCAUUGGGCGUAAAGCGCGCGUAGGUGGCCCCAUAAGUCCGCUGUGAAAGUCAAAGGCUCAACCUUUGAAAGCCGGUGGAUACUGUGGGACUAGAGUACGGAAGACGCGAGUGGAAUUCCUGGUGUAGCGGUGGAAUGCGCAGAUAUCAGGAGGAACACCAAUAGCGAAGGCAGCUCGCUGGGACGUUACUGACACUGAUGCGCGAAAGCGUGGGGAGCGAACAGGAUUAGAUACCCUGGUAGUCCACGCCGUAAACGAUGGUACUAGGUGUGGGAGGUGUCGACUCCUCC